GGUUUCCAUAGGUGAACUUGCGAUAGGAUCAUUGCCAAGACCCA
rnacentral:rRNA from 1 species